GAUGAACGCUGGCGGCGUGCCUAAUACAUGCAAGUCGAGCGAACGGACGAGAAGCUUGCUUCUCUGAUGUUAGCGGCGGACGGGUGAGUAACACGUGGAUAACCUACCUAUAAGACUGGGAUAACUUCGGGAAACCGGAGCUAAUACCGGAUAAUAUUUUGAACCGCAUGGUUCAAAAGUGAAAGACGGUCUUGCUGUCACUUAUAGAUGGAUCCGCGCUGCAUUAGCUAUUGGUAAGGUAACGGCUUACCAAGGCAACGAUGCAUAGCCGACCUGAGAGGGUGAUCGGCCACACUGGAACUGAGACACGGUCCAGACUCCUGCGGGAGGCAGCAGUAGGGAAUCUUCCGCAAUGGGCGAAAGCCUGACGGAGCAACGCCGCGUGAGUGAUGAAGGUCUUCGGAUCGUAAAACUCUGUUAUUAGGGAAGAACAUAUGUGUAAGUAACUGUGCACAUCUUGACGGCACCUAAUCAGAAAGCCACGGCUAACUACGUG
rnacentral:rRNA from 1 species